AUGGCCUCCUUCUGGACACAUACUCUCUCUGAGCAGGCCUCGCUGGGACAGAGGUCAGAAUGCCGGUGGCCAGACGACAGGAAUGCUCCCAUUGCUAGCAUUGGUGGAGCUGCAGCUAUGGGGUUUUUGGCUGUUGUGCUUACCAAGCCUAGGGACUCCAGUACAGCAGAGCACGAGAUGGUGGUUACUUUGGAAGAGACCAGGACAGCAAUGAACUCUGUGUCUUAGUCCUGAAAACUACAGCCCACACUAUGUGGGCAGGGGAGCAGUUCUGGCCAUGCAUUUUCAAAAGCCAAAGUUCCGCAAAGUUACCGGAGGGGCGCGGACAACAAUUAUUUAACGACAGCAGACGUUAAGAUUCAAAAAAUUAAAGUUUUUCAACCACUAAACACACAAAUUGCCUACACUGC